UACAGAGGUCUCAAGCGUUGUUCGGAUUCAUUGGGCGUAAAGGGUGCGUAGGCGGCGCGGUAAGUCGGGUGUGAAAUCUUGGAGCUUAACUCCGAAACUGCAUCGAUACUGCCUGUCGCUUGAGGACUGGAGAGGAGACUGGAAUUUACGGUGUAGCGGUGAAAUGCGUAGAUAUCGUAAGGAAGACCAGUGGCGAAGGCGGGUCUCUGGACAGUUCCUGACGCUGAGGCACGAAGGCCAGGGGAGCAAACGGG
rnacentral:rRNA from 1 species